AAACGCUAGCUACGUCACAGUCCUUAUACUAGCUAACUUCUGCCUGAGUUAAAUGCUAAUCUCAGCUGGGCUCCGCACACCAGAAUCGCGAAAUGAAUCCAAAUUUGUCACAGGACUUACGAAGUGUCAAAUCUAUAUGAAUGUAAGCUCGCAUGUGGCUUGUCACAGCUGUUUCAUUUGGAAAUGUGAGCCGAGGACGGGCGGUCAUUUCACAGGAAAACACCACAAAUUCCAGCUAGCCGAUAGCGCUUUGUCUGUUGUGAGGGAGUGGGAGAGAUUUCCUGUAAUACAUCAAAACAUGUGUCAGUAUUUGGUACUGUUAUCAACCAGCAUGUGUGAUAUUGGGUAGUUGCUCUUGCUAACAAUGUGCGCAGCUGUUGUACAGUAUUCCAGCUUGUCAGCAUCCGCAAAAGGUUUAAUUUCAUGAGAUAGCAGUCGUUAGGGUGAUAUCACAUCAUAGCUGGAUUGUCUCUUCUUAAACCACUGUCGACAUUGUGAACAUCCAAAGAGCUCUUUAGCAUGUUGUAUAAUCAUAAAAUGAACUCUCAGGAAUCUUACGUGUGAAUAUUUAAUGAGACAGACUCUUAUCAUGGCGGACUACUUGAACAAACCUACCGAUGAAGUAAAUUGGCCUUCUGUUUUUUGGGGGUUUUCUGUAUUUCCUCCUUGUAGUUUUCGCUAUUACCCAAGACUCUUCGUGUCAUGUAUUUUCUGCAGAGUUGCACAGUCUUCUUUAAGGGUUUGUAAUCUGCCUGCUAUAUAGCAACACAGUUUAGAAAUCAAACCCUGCAGAAGCCAGGCGUAGUUGCAGUUAUACGUUUGUGUAUUGUGAAUUUUGUGUGCUCUGCUGCAUAUGCACAUGCUCAUUUCUUUUUUUUUUUAGAGAUGGGUGAAAAUGAGAGACAGUGCUUUAAAUUUUGCAGUUUUGCUUCAUUUGACAUGAGUGACACAGAAAAGACUAUUUUAAUUUUUUAAAAAAAAGAGGAAUACGGUGGGUGAUGAAAGUAGAACACGGGAUUCACAGCUUAGAGCGAGAAAGCAAUUUAAUGCAUUGUGAGGCCUUUCAGUCCUUUGACCAAAUUAGCUUCCAUGUCCAAAUAUGCCUACGCCAUUGUACCAAUGCCUGUAAUAGGACUGUAGAUUCUGCAAAAGUCUUGAUGACCGUAUUUAAUUCAUAACCAAUUAAUUGGUUAUGAAUGUACAUUCACUUAUAUAGAUUCUCUGCAGUAUGUGGGAAUUGCCGCCACACACUUGAUGCUAAAAUGCAUCUUCAAUAAUAUGAUUAGAAGUGAGGAGCACAAGCAUUAGUGCAUUUAGACUGGUGGGCGGUAUGUCGUCACUUGUGUUGUGUGAGCACAAAUUUGUCCCUGGCCACCUUAAAGUGUACUACUUAAGGUAAUUGACAAAAAAGUAAUCAACCAAUCCAGCUUUUCAGUUAUGAGUAUUUUCUGCCAUGAAAUACUCCAUGAAAAUAUUGGUUGGUUGCAGCCCUGUUAUUCCUAACACUGAGGAAUUGAUAACAAAAACGGCAGCACAAAAAAGACAACAACAACGAAGUGAUUUCUUCAAAUCUCAACUUCACUUCAAACUUUAUUUGUCAGUAUAUUUUUACGUGCACUGAAAUCCUUCCUCUGCAUUUAACCCAUCACUGAUUGAAACAUGCAACAUGCAGUGAAACACACAAAAGUAGUGGGCUGCAACUAUCAAGCGCCCAGGGAGCAAAUAUUGGGUGUUCAGUGCCUUGUUCAAGGACACAUCAGCUGGCUAAUGGAGGGAGGGAGACAUUGAUUAAUCACUCCACCACACCCAAAUUUUAUUUCCUGCCUGUCCGGGGGAAACGAACCGGUGACCCUCCGGUUACAAGCCACUUCUCCUCCUCCUCCUCCUCCUCCUCCUCUAGGCCACGGCUGCCCCCCAACACAAUCGCUGAUUCAUUUAGGAUCUGUUGACGUAAAGGGGUCUACGUUUAUCAGCAAAAAUCUAUUUUUCUUCACAUUGCUUAUCUCUGUUUUCAGGUAUUCAAACCUCUUGCUGUCGCAGUGCAGUUCUAAUGCAUGCAACGUCGCAAUUUACUAACAUCAAACGCAGACGCAUUUGAUGUGCGGACUCUUUUCUUCGGCCUGUGUGUGUUUUCCUGCUUAGCAUGGCAGUGGUCAGGGCCUCAUCGCACAUGAAGUUAGGUUUGUAAGGGGAAUUGAAAUCCUUUCAGAAGAAGCUACUCGAACGGCAUUUUAAACGCCUCUUCUGGUGUUAAUAAAUAGUUAAUUUGCCAAGUUUCACAGAGAGGGAAGUAAAUCUCAACAUUGUCUGAUUAAUAUGUUUUCGUUGUCCUUUUAGAAUUUAAGUAUGUACCGUAAUCAACUUACAAACCCGGAAAUCACUCAUAGCUCUGCCAAAAUUCAGGGGAGCUUCAGUGUUUUAAAUGCUGCGUGCUCCUGCAUAUUGAGAGUAGCUACACAAUGAAGGAUUGGAAACACAAACAGCUUUAUUUCCUGUCAUUCAGAGAUGCUAAACUGUUGGCUGUGUUACAGUAAUGGUGUAAAUGUGUUUGGGGAUUUUGUGGUCCUUGGGCUUUUGAUGAAAAACUGUGGGCUUGAACUUGUGGCUUUCACAAGUUUCCGACUUUGCUCAGACAGUCAGGAGAGUGUGAGUGCGCUAUAAAAUGUGACUGGAUCGGCCUCCUCUUGAAUUGUGUAUUGAGAUGUCAAUCAAGUUGCGUGGUUGAAAUCUGGGAAAUGACUGAGAAAUGAGUGAAUACAUUCCUCUGUACAUAAUUGUGAUGAGUCAUUGCAUACAAUAGCCCAGCUUGUGAUAUGGUGACUGGGGCUUUCCGAAGAAAAUAAACAUCUUACCUUUUGAGUUUGCUUUUAUUUUUGCUUUUGGUGGAGUGUUUUAUCUCACUUAUUAAUUCACUGCAGUACUUGUUGAGGAGACCCAUAACAUGAUCUUAAUACACUUUAAUAGAGUACAUAUUGAAGUCAUGUCUUUAUCGUCAUUCUCUAGUUUUCGUCCUUUUCACUGGUACAAAGAGUUUUGGCUGUGGCUCAGUUGAAUUUGCUUUCUGAUUGCUCAUUCUGACAAGUCACAGCAGGAAGCUCACAGUUGCAUUGAAGAUUGCUUUACUGAUUAUCUGAUUAUGCAAGGUGGUUCAUUGCGACAGUCUAAAAACACUAAAAGGGUUUUUCCUGCACUAACAAGUCAACAUGUCUGCUGUGUUGCCAUUUUUUUUUUUUUUUUAAACAGACGCCAGCAUAUAUGAUAAUGAGCAUUAACAUGCUGCUAUUUGGGUGCAUUUCAUUGCACUGUGCUUUGUGUGACUUUCUUAUCUUGCUUUUACUUUCUGUGCAAAAAAAAAUGUGUCUUUGUGUUCUGCCUAAUAUGUUGUGUGCAGUAUGAACUCAUUUUGAAAGCGUUUUGCAGCAGCACUGACGAACGUUUUCAUCUGUUUUGCGUUUCUCACAUGACCAGUAACCUCAUUUUUUUUUUUUUUUUUUUUUAAAAGCCUGACAACAUCUGCUCUCUUCCUGCUUCUGGAAGAGGUUUUUGCUUUGUAUACAUUAGUCUUGUCUGCUACUGCUGCCUUUGGUUUUUAAAGUGAUUACAAUCUGCAUCAAUCAUAAAAUAAACAUGAUGUUCCCAAA